GGUAGAAAUCUCAGUGCUUUGAUUGAUCACACCCAAGAAAUGUUACAUAUGAAGAAAAUUACAUUGGGCCAUCCAUCACACUCGAUGGAAUCGAAACUUAUGAGGAAAACUACAUUGGGUCAUCAGACUUUUGACAGAAAUCUUCAGUAGUUUGAUCACAAAAAAGUGAAGUUACUUCUAAACUUAUGAAGAAAAUUAGAUUGGCUCUUCGCACUUGAUAGAAACCUCCUUGUGUCUCAGUGGUAGUGACAACAGAAACUCAAAAGCUCACCGGAAAUCUCACGCUCUUGCGAAAAGCAUCGUCAUCGACACAGAGGAAUAGAAACAAACCGGAUGCCUCAGGACUAGAGAGCCUGUUUUCUACACCAAAGCUUCAGGUAAUACGUGCAAAGCUAGUAAGCAUCACCGGCACCCGGCUAUGGUUUCCACUGCCUUUUGUUUGUCACUGAGAAAGCACAAAAUGCAAUGGAGGUAUGCAAAGUGCAAAGAAAUGACAGGCAUCAAUCUAGCACACAUUGGUUUCUUCCAGGACUUGACGCUAAGGACAGUGCCAAAGAGCCAAUUGCCCGAGUGUGCGCAUCAACAAACACAAGCAAAGAAAAACGCAAGAAAACGAGAGAAAGAAAAAACCAUACCCGAUACGGGUUAACAAAGUUUUGAUCUCGGGAAAAACAUCGACUCGAUCACAAACUCACAGGCCCAGCUUGGUCCUUCGCCAGUGCCUCCUCUUGGCAUUGUAGCUACAAGAAAGAUAAAACCAAAAGAAGAUCAGGAAAAUCCGAUGACAACGAAUACCGGAUGGUGUUGUCGGUCCGCAUCCUGAUCCAGUGAGGGAUUGGGCGAUUCUGGCGCAGCUUCUUGCCCAGUUUCUGCUUGAUCCGGAACGUCUUGUGCGACGGC
rnacentral:lncRNA from 1 species